AGAGUUUGAUCAUGGCUCAGAGCGAACGCUGGCGGCAGGCUUAACACAUGCAAGUCGAGCGGAUGUAGCAAUACAUCAGCGGCAGACGGGUGAGUAACGCGUGGGAACAUACCUUUUGGUUCGGAACAACCCAGGGAAACUUGGGCUAAUACCGGAUAAGCCCUUACGGGGAAAGAUUUAUCGCCGAAAGAUUGGCCCGCGUCUGAUUAGCUAGUUGGUGAGGUAACGGCUCACCAAGGCGACGAUCAGUAGCUGGUCUGAGAGGAUGAUCAGCCACAUUGGGACUGAGACACGGCCCAAACUCCUACGGGAGGCAGCAGUGGGGAAUAUUGGACAAUGGGCGCAAGCCUGAUCCAGCCAUGCCGCGUGAGUGAUGAAGGCCCUAGGGUUGUAAAGCUCUUUUGUGCGGGAAGAUAAUGACGGUACCGCAAGAAUAAGCCCCGGCUAACUUCGUGCCAGCAGCCGCGGUAAUACGAAGGGGGCUAGCGUUGCUCGGAAUCACUGGGCGUAAAGGGUGCGUAGGCGGGUCUUUAAGUCAGGGGUGAAAUCCUGGAGCUCAACUCCAGAACUGCCUUUGAUACUGAGGAUCUUGAGUUCGGGAGAGGUGAGUGGAACUGCGAGUGUAGAGGUGAAAUUCGUAGAUAUUCGCAAGAACACCAGUGGCGAAGGCGGCUCACUGGCCCGAUACUGACGCUGAGGCACGAAAGCGUGGGGAGCAAACAGGAUUAGAUACCCUAGUAGUCC
rnacentral:rRNA from 1 species